rnacentral:rRNA from 1 species
GGUAAUACGGAGGGUGCAAGCGUUAAUCGGAAUUACUGGGCGUAAAGCGCACGCAGGCGGUUUGUUAAGUCAGAUGUGAAAUCCCCGGGCUCAACCUGGGAACUGCAUUUGAAACUGGCAAGCUUGAGUCUUGUAGAGGGGGGUAGAAUUCCAGGUGUAGCGGUGAAAUGCGUAGAGAUCUGGAGGAAUACCGGUGGCGAAGGCGGCCCCCUGGACAAAGACUGACGCUCAGGUGCGAAAGCGUGGGGAGCAAACAGGAUUA